rnacentral:lncRNA from 10 species
AUUCCUUCCCCGCAUCUGCUAGAGAGCAGGGCAAGGCCAAAGGGUCAGAGGCUCGAGGAAUGCGGGGUGGUGUCGGGGGGUAAAAGGACAUACCUGAGAAGGCCCCAGACCCUCGCUCCACCAGGAGGUAAGGAAACUGAAGCCUCAGGCGAAGAGAUGAUUUCAAAGAACUUCAGAGCUAAGAGUCUUCUUCGACUAAAGUAGGCCCCCAUGUUUCCUGGGAGAGGUGGAGCUUGAGGCUUGAGUGGGCUUAAAAAACAAUGAGGAUUCUGACAAACACAAAAGAGGGAGAGAAAGAGAGAGAAUUAGAGCAUUCCAGGCAGCAGGGGACUGAGAUAAAGGAAGGCCAGGAGGCAGGAAAGACUAGGAAGUGACUGGCAAGACUAGGCGGUUUAGUAGAGAAUCCAAGGUAUAUGCUUACACAAAUUACUGGGCAAGGUGACUCACACCUGUAAUCCCAGCACUUUGGGAGGCCAAGGUGGGAGGACUGCUUGAGCCCAGGAGUUUGCGACCAGUUUGGAAAACAUGAGGAGACCCCAUCUCUAUUUAAAAAAAGGAAAGGAAAGGAGAGGAGAGGGGAGGGGAAGGGAGGGGAGGGGAGGGGAGGGGCAGCAGAAAGCCUGGAAUGGCAGGAGGAACACCAAGCCUGCCACAGACAUGGGGCGUUUCUGAGAAGGCUAGGCAGUGUUCCAGUGGGGGAAAGCCCUUGUGGACGACUUCCCUGUCAAAACCCUUCCCAGGAACUUGAAGGGCCAGUUCCAGAGACCCUGUGACCUCAGGCUCCAGAGAUGGCUCCGUAAGGCAAACUCACCAUGACCACUGGUCAAUGACUCACUUCUCCUCCCAGGCGCCCUCCCAGGGAUGAGCGCUCCUUCACUCUGCCUCCCUCAGCCCUUGCUCCGGUCUCUCUGCAGCUGGGGUCAGUGUUCCCAGUGAAGUCAGCGUGUGGAGCACACAUGCCUCGUACCCACAUUCAUGCCCAUGUGUGCGUGUGCACACGCAUGUGGGGCCUGUGUGUCUCUUUCUCUGAGACCCACUCAAGAUCUGCAUGCACCUCGGGCCCCCUCCCAGAGUGCUGCAGCCAGAUGCACCUGGAGCCCCACCCGUCAGCCCAGGGAGACAUGCCCCUGCUGAAUUCAGAGAAUGAUCCAGAAGGAUUCAGGAAAUGAGGACCAUUCAUGAACCCAGCGACUGAUGAAGAGCACCUUCCUCACAUCCGCUGCCAAACUCACCCGAAAAGAAGAGACAGAGGAAGACCCCAGAGGAUUGCAAUUUGAGGACACCUCCAACUCAUGCUCACUGCACUUGGUCCAAAAUGAUCAGAGGGGAGAUUUGGCUCAUGCUCUGGCCUCACUGGCUCCCAUCACCAUUGCCUCUGCCCCUCCAGCCUCUGCCAGGCGCCUGGCUCUGACCCUUGCUGACACUUCAGGCCCCUCACCCUUAGAACUGACUGCCAAAGGGCUAGUUGCUUAGUCUUCAAGUAAAGGGGGUCUGGAGGACUAUGGAGGAGGCAUAGUGCCUAGAGAGCCCCUCGCCUCAAGACACCCCCACUGCACUUGGGAGGAAAGGCAGGGCUGGGGGAUGGAGGCACUGUGGGGGCCUUUCCUAUUUGGCAGCAGCUGCAGCCAUGCGCACCAUAGCCACAGCACGCAGCACACAUCUUCUGUCUCACAGUGAUUGAAGAUUUUGCCAAACCACCGGUCAGACAGAUUUCCCCCCAAGCCCCACAUUAAUUGAUUUUUGGAUUCUGCAACCCAAGCUCAAGCUCAAGCUCCGAGCUCACUGCUGAGCUCAGACUCCUGGGUGUCCCACAACGGCUUCGAUGUGGAGGCCAUGACGCUGAAGCCAAAGUUGUCAGACACCUGGGCUGCACUUGCCUGUGCAACGAGCCUGGGAAAGCAGCUCUGGGGAUUGCACCCACAGUGCCAGGGCUCGGGAGCCUCUGAGCUCAGGGAGGCCUUCAGGGACAGGCGCUCGGCCAGCUGCCUGGGUAGGCUACUAAUGAGCAGAUGUGUUCCAGGCUGUCUGCCCAAGGGGCAGCUGCACCUGGGCUGGAGAGCUGAGACUCUCUGGGGUUCUGCAGCCUCUGUCCUCCUCAGCCUGGCCCGACAGCCCCUCGUUCUGAUACAGGAGGGCACAGCUGCCUGACGCCCCUCCUUCCCCAUCUCUGCCUCUCUAAUCUUCCUUGAGGAAGAUUCCAUCAGAGGUUUUACUUACAUAUUCCUACACCAUGCCUGGAACAUAGUAGGUACUCAAUAAAUCCAACUUUUCCUGAGUUAGUGGUGAGGAAAAGCUGGACUCAGGAUCAGGCUGCCUGUGAAGCCUGGCCUGUAGCCUGCCAGCUCUCCCAGCCUCAGGGUCCUCACACCCACACGUGUGUGCAGUAACAGAGCACUUCUUGCCUGCAACAGUGCCUGGUUCCCAGUGUAUGCCACUGGGAUCCGUAUUAUUAUUAAGUGAUCCGUAUUAUUAUUUUAUCUUAAGAGAGGAAUCCAGCUGUGUCCAAAUGAGGGGUUGGGACAAAAUAAAAGCUAGAAUCCAGUCUUGCAGGUGGGGACAUGGCACCUGGGUCUCCACACUGACCCGUGCUGCCCACCCUCUCACAUGCUAUCUAGAGACGGCACUCCUUGUGGAAUGCUGCAGGAGGUGCUCCACUGGCACGAAGUGGGUGGGCUCUUAGCACAGACCCAAACAGUAAGUGACUUUUCACACUCCCAUCGCAUCUCCAAAGCUACAUGCAAAACACUGAUCUUCACAGGGGUUAGAACACAACUUCCAGAAGGCCUCUUUCUUUUUUUUUUUUUUCUCCCUUUUUUUUUUUUAUUAUUAUACUUUAAGUUCUGAGAUACAUGUGCAGAACAUGCAGGUUUGUUACAUAGGUAUACAAGAGCCAUGGUGGUUUGCUGCACCCAUCAACCCGUCAUCUACAUUACGUAUUUCUCCUAAUGCUAUCCCUCCCCUAACCCCCAACCCCCUGGCAGGCCCCAGUGUGUGAUGUUCCCCUCCCUGUGUUCAUGUGCUCUCACUGUUCAACUCCCACUUAUGAGGGAGAACAAGCAGUGUUUGGUUUUCUGUUCCUGUGUUAGUUUGCUGAGAAUGAUGGUUUCCAGCUUCAUCCAUGUCCCUGCAAAGGACAUGAAGUCAUCCUUUUUGAUGGCUGUAUAGUAUUCCAUGGUGUAUAUGUGCCAUGUUUUCUUUAUCCAGUCUAUCAUUGAUGGGCAUUUGGGUUGGUUCCAAGUCUUUGUUAUUGUGAACAGUGCUGCAAUAAACAUACGUGUGCAUGCGUCUUUAUAGUAGAAUAAUUGAUAAUCCUUUUGUUAUAUACCCAGUAAUGGCAUUGUUGGGUCAAAUGGUAUUUCUUGUUCUAGAUCCUUGAGGAAUCGCCACACUGUCUUUCACAAUGGUUGAACUGGUUUACACUCCCACCAACAGUGUAAAAGCAUGCCUAUUUUUCCACAUCCUCUCCAGCAUCUGUUGUUGCCUGACUUUUUAAUGAUCACCAUUCUAACUAGCAUGAGAUGGUAUCUCAUUAUGGUUUUGAUUUGCAUUUCUCUAAUGACCAUUUCUCUAAUGAUGAGCUUUUUUUCAUAUGUUUGUUGGCUGCAAAAAUGUCUUCUUUUGAGAAGUGUCCAUUCAUAUCUUUUGCCCAUUUUUUGAGUGGGGUUGCUUUUUUCUUAUAAACUUGUUAAAGUUCCUUAUAGAUUCUGGAUAUUAGCCCUUUGUCAGAUGGAUAGAUUGCAAAAAUUUUCUCCCAUUCUGUAGGUUGUCUGUUCACUCUGAUGAUAGUU